CACGUAGGGUGCGAGCGUUGUCCGGAAUUAUUGGGCGUAAAGAGCUCGUAGGCGGUGUGUCGCGUCGGCCGUGAAAACCUGCAGCUUAACUGUGGGCGUGCGGUCGAUACGGGCAUCACUGGAGUUCGGCAGGGGAGACUGGAAUUCCUGGUGUAGCGGUGAAAUGCGCAGAUAUCAGGAGGAACACCGGUGGCGAAGGCGGGUCUCUGGGCUGAUACUGACGCUGAGGCGCGAAAGCCAGGGGAGCGAACGGG
rnacentral:rRNA from 1 species